rnacentral:rRNA from 1 species
CCUACGGGAGGCAGCAGUUUCGAAUCAUUCACAAUGGGCGAAAGCCUGAUGGUGCGACGCCGCGUGAGGGAUGAAGGUCUUCGGAUUGUAAACCUCUGUCACCGGGGAAGAAACGCUUCAAGUUAAUAGCUUGAAGCCUGACUUAACCCGGAGAGGAAGCAGUGGCUAACUCUGUGCCAGCAGCCGCGGUAAUACAGAGACUGCAAGCGUUAUUCGGAUUCACUGGGCGUAAAGGGUGCGCAGGCGGCCAAGUGUGUGAGGCGUGAAAGCCCGAGGCUCAACCUCGGAAUUGCACCUCAAACUACAUGGCUAGAGCAUUGGAGAGGGUAGCAGAAUUCAUGGUGUAGCAGUGAAAUGCGUAGAUAUCAUGAGGAAUACCAGAGGCGAAGGCGGCUACCUGGACAAUUGCUGACGCUCAGCACGAAGACGUGGGAGACGAAAGGAAGUAGACUACCCUACGUAGUACGACGACCGUAACCGGUACGCAUACUAGGUCGUUGGUCGG